rnacentral:rRNA from 1 species
GACGAACGCUGGCGGCGUGCUUAACACAUGCAAGUCGAACGGAAAGGCCCUGCUUUUGUGGGGUGCUCGAGUGGCGAACGGGUGAGUAACACGUGAGUAACCUGCCCUUGACUUUGGGAUAACUUCAGGAAACUGGGGCUAAUACCGGAUAGGAGCUCCUGCUGCAUGGUGGGGGUUGGAAAGUUUCGGCGGUUGGGGAUGGACUCGCGGCUUAUCAGCUUGUUGGUGGGGUAGUGGCUUACCAAGGCUUUGACGGGUAGCCGGCCUGAGAGGGUGACCGGCCACAUUGGGACUGAGAUACGGCGCAGACUCCUACGGGAGGCAGCAGUGGGGAAUAUUGCACAAUGGGCGGAAGCCUGAUGCAGCGACGCCGCGUGCGGGAUGACGGCCUUCGGGUUGUAAACAGCUUUCGCCUGUGACGAAGCGUGAGUGACGGUAAUGGGUAAAGAAGCACCGGCUAACUACGUG